UCGCGCAGAACCUUACCAAGGCUUGACAUACUACAGAUUCCUUUGAAAAAGGAAAGUGCCUUCGGGAAUGUAGAUACAGGUGCUGCAUGGCUGUCG
rnacentral:rRNA from 1 species